rnacentral:rRNA from 1 species
GUAGGGAAUAUUGCGCAAUGGGGGAAACCCUGACGCAGCGACGCCGCGUGAGUGAUGAAGGCCUUCGGGUCGUAAAGCUCUGUUGCAGGGGAAUAAAAAAAUGAAGGUACCCUGUGAGGAAGGAUCGGCUAACUUCGUGCCAGCAGCCGCGGUAAGACGAGGGAUCCUAGCGUUGCUCGGAAUCAUUGGGCGUAAAGAGGGCGUAGGUGGCUUGGUAAGUCAGGUGUGAAAGCCCAGGGCUCAACCCUGGAAGUGCAUUUGAUACUGCUGAGCUUGAGUGUCGGAGAGGUUACCGGAAUACCUGGUGUAGUGGUGAAAUACGUAGAUAUCAGGUGGAACACCGGAGGCGAAGGCGGGUAACUGGACGAACACUGACACUGAGGCCCGAAAGCGUGGGGAUCAAACAGGAUUAGAAACCCCAGUAG